AAUCCCUUAUCGAUUAACAAUUAGAGGGCAAGUCUGGUGCCAGCAGCCGCGGUAAUUCCAGCUCUAAUAGCGUAUAUUAAAGUUGUUGCAGUUAAAAAGCUCGUAGUUGGAUUUCGGCGUGCGCUCAGGCUGGUCGGCCGUCAAGGUCUGUACCGUUUGGGUCACGCCCCACUGUAGGAUACUCACCGCUGUCCUUAACUGGGUGGCGGUCAAAGGGGGUGUGCAUGGGGGCAACUCUGUGCAUAUCUCUGGGGUUCCUACUCUUUUACUUUGAGCAAAUUAGAGUGUUCAAAGCAGGCAAUCGAGCCUUGAAUACUUCAGCAUGGGAUAAUGGAACAGGACUGGGGUCCUGAUUUCGUUGGUUUCUGGGAUCUCAGUAAUGAUUAAUAGGGAUAGUUGGGGGCAUUAGUAUUUAAUUGUCAGAGGUGAAAUUCUUGGAUUUAAGAAAGACUAACUUCUGCGAAAGCAUUUGCCAAGGAUGUUUUCAUUAAUCAAGAACGAAAGUUAGGGGAUCGAAGACGAUCAGAUACCGUCGUAGUCUUAACCAUAAACGAUGCCGACCAGCGAUUGGGAGACGUUACAUGGAUGACUCCCCCAGCAGCUUGCGAGAAAUCACAAGUCUUUGGGUUCCGGGGGGAGUAUGGUCGCAAGGCUGAAACUUAAAGGAAUUGACGGAAGGGCACCACCAGGAGUGGAGCCUGCGGCUUAAUUUGACCCAACACGGGGAAACUUACCAGGUCCAGACAUAGUAAGGAUUGACAGAUUUGAGAGCUCUUUCUUGAUUCUAUGGGUGGUGGUGCAUGGCCGUUCUUAGUUGGUGGAGUGAUUUGUCUGGUUAAUUCCGUUAACGAUCGAGACCUUAACCUGCUAAAUAUGUCACUGGUAGACUUCUGCCAAAACAGGUGGGUGUCUAGGGGAAAGUUUCGAUGGACUCCGACGCAUUCAUCUGUGGAUGACUACCAGGAUGUACUUCUUAGAGGGACUAUCUGUAUCAAAGCAGAUGGAAGUUUGAGGCAAUAACAGGUCUGUGAUGCCCUUAGAUGUUCUGGGCCGCACGCGCGCUACACUGACAAGUUCAACGAGUUUAACACCUUGCUCGAUAGGGCUGGGUAAUCUUUGAAAAACUUGUCGUGAUGGGGAUAGAUCAUUGUAAUUAUUGGUCUUCAACGAGGAAUUCCUAGUAAGCGUGAGUCAUCAGCUCGCGUUGAUUACGUCCCUGCCCUUUGUACGCACCGCCCGUCGCUCCUGCCGAUUGAAUGAUCCGGUGAAAUGUUGGGAGCUGGGGUCUUUUGGCGGGGCAACUCGUCGUCAGGGAUUCUGCAAACUUCAUUAAACCUUAUCAUUUAGA
rnacentral:rRNA from 1 species